rnacentral:tRNA from 1 species
GCCCUUGUAGCUGGAAGGUCAAGCAGAUGCCUUGUAAGCAUCCGAUCUCAGUUCGAUUCUGAGCAAGGGCACCA